rnacentral:lncRNA from 1 species
AUUGAAUGUCUCUGAGCCCCUCUACAUGUGAAACACACCAAGGUCAGAUUUAGACAACUAACCCUGCUGAGUGACUCAUUCUUUUCUUCCAGAUAUGGUGUUUCCCUUAGGUGAGGGGUCUGAAGAAGGGUCAUUCAUUCAUUCAUACAAAAUUUACUGAAUGCCAACUACUAAUCAGACAUGGAGGCCCUGAAAAUACAGCUGCUGUUAUUUACCUGAGUUGUGGGAAAGAGAAAAUAGCGCCAGGCGAUCUGAAAAAUAAAUAUACCUGCAAGUUCCUUGCUUUACCCCUGGGGACCCUGUGGGAUCCAGCCCAUCCACUUCUCCCGCCCUCCCACACUGUCUGGCUUUCACUCCUGGAGACCUUUCCAGUCUCGGUAAGAAAAUAGACAUGCAGUUUCAUCUUCCUAAAAUGCCCACCCCACGCUCUCUCUUCACAUCC